UCUGGGUCCUUAGCUCUACUAUUCAAUAUUAUUGAAUUUAAAAUUGGUGCUGGAUAUUGAAUUUUAAUAUUUGGGCAAGAAUAUUUAAUGCCACUGAAUUUCUAGAAUGACCAUUAAUCUAGAGUGAAGAAUACAGAUUAGCUCAAGAAAGGGGAAGUUUCCUGUUAAAACAUCUUGAAGAUUUUCUUUUCUGUUCCAGUAAACCUUCAAGUUUUCCUUAAAAGUGUUGAUCUAAAAAUAAUUUGUGCAGAGGAAAAACUGCCAAAAUCAUUCUACAAAGGGAGAAAAUAGAAGCCUUAGGGUGUAUUAGAAAACCUGGGGAAAAUGUAUUGACACCGAGAGACCAGUUUUCGGCAGUUCUCUAACACUGCAUCUCUGAACAAAUUUCACUGAGCAGUAUUCAGACAUUCCACACCUCCUGAGAGAAUUCUAUGGCCACAGCCUUGAAAGUUAACAUUUCCUAAAAUAAACCCAAAGACCCACACAUACUUAGCAAGUGGUCAUAGGCAGAAUUAUUAAUUUUACUCUAAGUGUUUGAGAGUUAAGAGAACUGGCUCUGUUUCACAUAAGAGACUGGCAUUAUCCAAUAAAAUAUUGUUCAAUAGAGAAAGAUUCUCUAAUGUAUUCCUUCAUUCUGAGGAAAGAGGAUGAAACAAGAUCCACAAAACCAGUGUAUGUAUUAUAGUUUUCUGAAUGACACAGCAUAAUAUUUAUGGCAAAAACACAAGCAUUUACAGUUUUGAGUG
rnacentral:lncRNA from 1 species